GCCAAGACUGCUGCUGCUAUGUCCUGCCCACCAUCUACCGCACACAGUGGGGUGUCACUCCAAGACCACGCUUCAGACAGGUGCCUUUUAAGCCACACCUCACAGUGGCCCACUGGUGACGUUCCCCUACUGUGCCUAGGACCAUGUCCAUUCUUUGCAUGUCCUGCUCCCAACCCAGCUAUCAGAGGCAACCACUCAGUGUGCACACCCUGCUCCAUACUGACUGAAGUCACCAGAUCAUGCACCCAGCAUGCAUCCCUCCUGAAGCUGGCCAGUCACCCUCGCCGUGGCUCACACUCUAUCACCAGUUGCCUCCAUCUAUGAGACCAUUCCCAUGAGGCCUUGCCCCUCCUCUGUUGGGCACAUCCCGUCUACGUCCAGCCUCGGCUAACCUGGGACCUCCACAUCCACAUGGAUUUGCAGGCUCCGCACUCAACCUCAAAGCUCUCCUCUCCUACAAAGCUCUUAGUGGGUCACCAGACAAGAACCACCUCCUCAUCUUCAUGGGGACCAUGCAGCAGGAGCACCACCUACUUUCAAGGCCACUCCCCCAUCUCCACAGGCCUCUUACCUCUCAGAAGCAUUUCCCUCCCUUCAGCCAGGCUACCCGCUGGUUCUGAAGCCCACCUUAGUUCCCCCACCACCAAGAGCCACCCUCCCACAAAAAGCCCUCAAGUACAGCCCUCCCCCAUAAAGGCCCACCACCUCUCCGACUCUCCUCAUUGCCUGUUUCACAGACCACUGGCUCCCAUCCCAACCAACUUUGGGCCUCUGGCUGUAAGUCUUCCUCUUCCUCUCACCUCCCCCCUCUCAAAGAGCCUUGGAUUCCUCUUGCUCCUUCCCCCAAAAUAACCAGUUGCUAGGGGACUCCCCCUUUUCAAGGACAGAGGCUAGCUCCUUAAGAAAGCUAGAGCCCAUGUGUCUCUAAUUGGCUGUAAGACCCAAGCAAGCAGCAGAGCUGGAUUCUGGUUGGCUGUCACCUCUGCCCAUGGCAGCAGUGAGGAAGUUAACCCCCUCAGUGCUGUAGCACAGGUGUCUGCAGUGUGCGAUGGAGGAUUGGAACUGCGGUCCCACGGGGAAGGGAAGAGUCCCAGGGUCUGUUGCCCAGCUGGGCUAGAGGACCAUCAGUAUCUGCAUACAUGCCGGGACUGGGGCCUGGGAACUUCCCACCACCCUGCCAGCUAGUGACCAUGGACAGGAAAGAGAAAGAAAAAGAGAAAGAGAGAGGUGGAGAAUCACAGAAGCCAAGAGCUAUUUACAGAAAUGUAUUAUCCAUCUCCCCUAAUCCCUGCCUGACAAACAGUAGGUGCUCGAUAAAUGAGUGUUCAAUGUAAAAGGGCAGAAUUAGGAGUUAGAAGGGUAAGGGCUGGAAUCCUGACUCUGCCUCUUUCGGUGUGACCUUGAGCAAGUGACUUCCCCCCACUGAGCCUCAGUUUCCCUGUCUAUAAAAUGGGAGGGGGAUCAUUGCUGCUUCACAGCAGAGUUGGGAAUAUGGAAUGGAGAGUAGCAUCCUUGGCAGUACCUUAGAAAGGUUUCUGUUUUUGAUCAUUUGUUUGCCCUGAUGUUUGUAAGACUGGGCCAGUGUCUGAUGCAUCUUGGUAGGCCUAGGGCCCAGACUGGCAGCUGGCAAGCAGUGGGCAUUUAUUCAGUGUUCGGUGACCAGAUUCAAAGAGAAGAAAACAAGGAUAUCAGAGACAAGAGAAAAGAGGCGUUUCACUCAUUCAGUCAACAAUAGGAGCGCACCUACUGUGUGCCAGGACUGUGACCCAGCAGACGCUGGGUGAGGUGAAGAUGGAGGCCAGGAGGCAGGCUUCUCAGUGUGGGUUUGAGCACCUCCAAGAGCUGGGGCUCUGGCGCCCCCACGUGAAGCCAAACACAGGAUUAAGCAUUCAGCGGGCGCUCUACAAAGUGUGCAGGGGAGGCAGAGCCAGGCAGAGGGCAAUGGCCACAGAGCCCACAACCACUUUCCAAGCGCCCACUGUGGGACAGGUCUGUGGCUGUGAGCCACAUUCAGAAAGAGACAGAGUUCUCCUGUGGUUCAGUGGGUUAAGGAUCUGACUUGUCACUGCAGCAGCUUGGGUGGCUGCUGUGGUGCGGAUUCGGUCUUUGGCCUGGAAACUUCCAUAUGCCACAGGUAUGGCAAGGAAAAAAAAAAAACUACCAACAUGGAGUGAUAAUGCAAGGCCAAGGCAGUAAUUCAUCUUAUUCAUCAUGUACUGUCUGUCUCCUCCCUCUGGGCUGUGAGCUCCCUGUGUUCCCAGCGCCUAGCAGGGCCUAGCACAGAGCAGGGGCUUAGAGCUUCAUGAGGGCAGGAGGGAAAAGAGGUACAGACCAACAGAGACAGAGGUGAGAGCAAGAUACGAACAGAGAUAGUGGGAGAAAGUUAACUCUUUAAUGUCUGUCUAUACCAUGGCAGGUGUAUCCACACCAGGGCUUCGAACCCAAUGGAUGGUGGAAAUGACUUAUAUCGAUGUAUUUUUCUCAUAGUUUUCUGUUUCCAUAAGGUACCCAAUGUGUUGAUACAGUAGCACUGGUAUAUAAUUUCUAAAUAUAACUGUAACUGUAAAUAUAUAUGUAUGUGAGUAUAUUUCCUGCUCUGAGGUGUUUAACUGACAAGGAAUGCAAACAGCUUUGGUGAGCGCUGAUGCAGACCAUGAGCCCCAGGAGGGCAAGGAUCAGACUGAGUGCAUUCACUCUUCUAACUCCAGUGCCCAGCGCUGGUCUGGCUCUGGCGGCCGCUCAAGGAAGAUUUGUAAGAUGCAUGAAAAACAAAGACAGUGAGAGAGAAAGAGAGAAGAAAAACAGGGCAAGUGAGAGCUUCCGCUGAGUGAGAAGGCCCAGGGCAUGGGCGCAGGGGAGGGAGGGCCCCUGGGGUGGGAGGAGGCCCUGGGACUGCAG